rnacentral:rRNA from 1 species
GACGAACGCUGGCGGCGUGCUUAGCACAUGCAAGUCGAACGGAAAGGCCCUGCUUUUGUGGGGUGCUCGAGUGGCGAACGGGUGAGUAACACGUGAGUAACCUGCCCUUGACUUUGGGAUAACUUCAGGAAACUGGGGCUAAUACCGGAUAGGAGCUCCUGCUGCAUGGUGGGGGUUGGAAAGUUUCGGCGGUUGGGGAUGGACUCGCGGCUUAUCAGCUUGUUGGUGGGGUAGUGGCUUACCAAGGCUUUGACGGGUAGCCGGCCUGAGAGGGUGACCGGCCACAUUGGGACUGAGAUACGGCCCAGACUCCUACGGGAGGCAGCAGUGGGGAAUAUUGUACAAUGGGCGGAAGCCUGAUGCAGCAACGCCGCGUGCGGGAUGACGGCCUUCGGGUUGUAAACCGCUUUCGCCUGUGACGAAGCGUGAGUGACGGUAAUGGGUAAAGAAGCACCGGCUAACUACGUG